UUGAACGCUGGCGGCAGGCCUAACACAUGCAAGUCGAAUGGUAACAGGAAACAGCUUGCUGUUUCGCUGACGAGUGGCGGACGGGUGAGUAAUGUCUGGGAAACUGCCUGAUGGAGAGGGAUAACUACUGGAAACGGUAGCUAAUACCGCAUAACGUCGCAAGACCAAAGAGGGGGACCUUCGGGCCUCUUGCCAUCAGAUGUGCCCAGAUGGGAUUAGCUAGUAGGUGGGGUAACGGCUCACCUAGGCGACGAUCCCUAGCUGGUCUGAGAGGAUGACCAGCCACACUGGAACUGAGACACGGUCCAGACUCCUACGGGAGGCAGCAGUGGGGAAUAUUGCACAAUGGGCGCAAGCCUGAUGCAGCCAUGCCGCGUGUAUGAAGAAGGCCUUCGGGUUGUAAAGUACUUUCAGCGGGGAGGAAGGGAGUAAAGUUAAUACCUUUGCUCAUUGACGUUACCCGCAGAAGAAGCACCGGCUAACUCCGUG
rnacentral:rRNA from 1 species